UUUAAUGUAGCCUAUAAUGCUAGUUUCCAGUACCGGUAGAUAUUUUUAAUGUAAACAAACUUUACACAAGCAAAGAAUAUUAACAAUAGGGGUUUUACCAAUCGUGUUUGAAUUUAUUUAGUCGUUUUGAAACAUGACUAAUAAGAAUGCUUUUAUAUUGAUUUAAAUGUUUGUCUCAGUUAUAUUUAAAUAUAGAUAUCAAUUUAUAAAGAUCGAGUGCGUGUAAAAUUCCUACAAAUAAAGAUCAGCUUAGGUUAACACGUGUUUGACGUUUUCCUUGCUCGUUGCAUAGAACGCGUGCUAUCAAGCAAGAAAGUACACGUGUUCACACUGAUGGUCAGUAGGUCAAGGCUCACUGACUCUCACUGUAAAUCUUUUUCGUACCACCUCUUUACUCGAUCUUUUUGUUGACGUAAUAGACCUUGUGAUCUCUUUCUUUUAUGAGUUACACAAAUGUUUAGGUCAAUAACAUUCAAAUAUAAUGAAACACGUAACUAAAACUAUCUUAUGAUUUAAAUAUAAUUCAAGGAAUUUUUAUUUUAAAGUAUAAGAUAUAACUGGCAAGAUCAUGAUAUGAACGACAGGAUUUGCUAUUCAGUUUCAUACAUUUAAAAAAAAGUUAUGACUCAAAAUACAUGCUACAUGACAGAUCUAAUAAACUACAUUAUAGGCACAGUUCGUAAAUAUUAUCGAUGACUGAUUCUACGAAGAUAAAGAGCAUAAAAAAAAUCAAGAGGCAUGCAAAUGUGUUGUAGCCAUAGUUGUAGACUAUGUACGUGUCAGUGUUUUAUCUAAUAUCUACUGUAUACCCCAUUCUAGAAUAUUUAUGAUUUAAAAUAUAUAUAAAAUUAAUUAGAUCCAUAUUUUAAAUCGUGCAAUCUAACUUUGUAAGAACCAUCUUCGUUAAUUAUAAUGUCUAUAAUGCAAUUUGUGUAAGUACGGUAGUCAAGUAGAUGAGGUCACGAGAUGAACCAACACAUCCUCACAUCAUUUGUUCAAAUGCUGCACACUGCUUUAUGGUAUCGAAAUACUAGGGUUAAUAAAACAAACAAUUUAAAUAUUCAACAAGAGACACUACUAAUACAGUAUUAGAGAAGAUUAUAGUCCUGAGGGGGGGGGGGGGGGGAAGAAAGACUGUGCCGCUGGUCAAUGUGUAGGCUACCCGGUCACGUGGCUUACUUACAAUUGACCAACCAGAGACAGGUCUACAUGAUAGGCUACAGCCUAUUGCAUCAUUAAGAAAAAUAGCGCCAGAACCAAACACCAUGACCAUCCCAUUCCAGUCAUAGUACUCAUAGAUCUACUUCAAGAUUGUGUUGAUUUGUGAUUAACUCGACUCUAUUCUAACAACUUUGGAAUGUGUGCGUCAAGCAAAGACUCUGGGAACCAAAGAGUGAAAGAAUGAUGGCAUCACUAUGAAUCAUGAUCACUUCUUGCUGGAUCUGUCCAAGAGUCAAUGAGUACAGGUGGACCAUGUUGGAAAAUAACUUUCAGUCAAGACUCAAGUUGAGACAAGAGCUCCAUUGAUGUUAUUGAUCAAACUGAACAUGUUCUAGAGAUACUGGAGAAAAGAUUUGAGUGCAGUACAGACUCAUUAAUUAAAAGAAGCAGAGAUAAAUACAAUCAGGAUUGGGUAUGAAGCAAAUUUCCCAAUGGCAAAUAAUGUAUCACUGUUGGAAAUAGAAGUGAAACUGAAGUAUGAAGAUUCUCAUGAAAAUUUGAUUAUUCAAGUGAGUUACCCAAGUCUGCUGUCAAAUCAAAUAACUUAGAGAAAGUACUUGAACUUGGCACAUGUGAUGGCACAGAAAUCGUAAAAAAAGAAGGAUGAUGGCUUCAACUCUGAAGGAACAUCCCAAACAUGUAAAACAUUUUACAAACAAACCUAAUCAAAGUUUAUAAAUGUUUAAAAAAAGUAAGAUGCACAAGCAAAUUUAUUUACAUACUACAGAUAUUAGAACUAAUGACUAAUGGAAAAAAAAAACUACCUAUCUAGAC